CCGUCGUAGUCCUAACCAUAAACCAUGCCGACUAGGGAUUGGAGGUCGUCAUUUUUCGACUCCUUCAGCACCUUGAGAGAAAUCAAAGUCUUUGGGUUUUGGGGGGAGUAUGGUCGCAAGGCUGAA
rnacentral:rRNA from 1 species